AUUGAACGCUGGCGGCAGGCCUAACACAUGCAAGUCGAGCGAGCGGCGGACGGGUGAGUAAUGUCUGGGAAACUGCCUGAUGGAGGGGGAUAACUACUGGAAACGGUAGCUAAUACCGCAUACCAUCAGAUGUGCCCAGAUGGGCUUAGCUAGUGGGGGGGGUAACGGCUCACCUAGGCGACGAUCCCUAGCUGGUCUGAGAGGAUGACCAGCCACACUGGAACGGAGACAAGGUCCAGACUCCUACGGUAGGCAGCAGUGGGGAAGAUUGAACAAUGGGCGCAAGCCUGAUGCAGCCAUGCCGCGUGUGUGAAGAAGGCCUUCGGGUUGUAAAGUACUUUCAGCGGGGAGGCGUUACCCGCAGAAGAAGCACCGGCUAACUCCGUGCCAGCAGCCGCGGUAAUAC
rnacentral:rRNA from 1 species